rnacentral:rRNA from 1 species
GAUGAACGCUGGCGGCGUGCCUAAUACAUGCAAGUCGAGCGAACGGACGAGAAGCUUGCUUCUCUGAUGUUAGCGGCGGACGGGUGAGUAACACGUGGAUAACCUACCUAUAAGACUGGGAUAACUUCGGGAAACCGGAGCUAAUACCGGAUGAUAUUUUGAACCGCAUGGUUCAAAAGUGAAAGACGGUCUUGCUGUCACUUAUAGAUGGAUCCGCGCUGCAUUAGCUAGUUGGUAAGGUAACGGCUUACCAAGGCAACGAUGCAUAGCCGACCUGAGAGGGUGAUCGGCGACACUGGAACUGAGACACGGUCCAGACUCCUACGGGAGGCAGCAGUAGGGAAUCGUCCGCAAUGGGCGAAAGCCUGACGGAGCAACGCCGCGUGAGUGAUGAAGGUCUUCGGAUCGUAAAACUCUGUUAUUAGGGAAGAACAUAUGUGUAAGUAACUGUGCACAUCUUGACGGUACCUAAUCAGAAAGCCACGGCUAACUACGUG